rnacentral:rRNA from 2 species
AGAGUUUGAUCAUGGCUCAGAUUGAACGCUGGCGGCAGGCCUAACACAUGCAAGUCGAACGGUAACAGGAAGCAGCUUGCUGCUUUGCUGACGAGUGGCGGACGGGUGAGUAAUGUCUGGGAAACUGCCUGAUGGAGGGGGAUAACUACUGGAAACGGUGGCUAAUACCGCAUAACGUCGCAAGACCAAAGAGGGGGACCUUCGGGCCUCUUGCCAUCAGAUGUGCCCAGAUGGGAUUAGCUUGUUGGUGAGGUAACGGCUCACCAAGGCGACGAUCCCUAGCUGGUCUGAGAGGAUGACCAGCCACACUGGAACUGAGACACGGUCCAGACUCCUACGGGAGGCAGCAGUGGGGAAUAUUGCACAAUGGGCGCAAGCCUGAUGCAGCCAUGCCGCGUGUAUGAAGAAGGCCUUCGGGUUGUAAAGUACUUUCAGCGGGGAGGAAGGUGUUGUGGUUAAUAACCGCAGCAAUUGACGUUACCCGCAGAAGAAGCACCGGCUAACUCCGUGCCAGCAGCCGCGGUAAUACGGAGGGUGCAAGCGUUAAUCGGAAUUACUGGGCGUAAAGCGCACGCAGGCGGUCUGUCAAGUCGGAUGUGAAAUCCCCGGGCUCAACCUGGGAACUGCAUUCGAAACUGGCAGGCUUGAGUCUUGUAGAGGGGGGUAGAAUUCCAGGUGUAGCGGUGAAAUGCGUAGAGAUCUGGAGGAAUACCGGUGGCGAAGGCGGCCCCCUGGACAAAGACUGACGCUCAGGUGCGAAAGCGUGGGGAGCAAACAGGAUUAGAUACCCUGGUAGUCCACGCCGUAAACGAUGUCUACUUGGAGGUUGUGCCCUUGAGGCGUGGCUUCCGGAGCUAACGCGUUAAGUAGACCGCCUGGGGAGUACGGCCGCAAGGUUAAAACUCAAAUGAAUUGACGGGGGCCCGCACAAGCGGUGGAGCAUGUGGUUUAAUUCGAUGCAACGCGAAGAACCUUACCUGGUCUUGACAUCCACGGAAGUUUUCAGAGAUGGAAUGGUGCCUUCGGGAACCGUGAGACAGGUGCUGCAUGGCUGUCGUCAGCUCGUGUUGUGAAAUGUUGGGUUAAGUCCCGCAACGAGCGCAACCCUUAUCCUUUGUUGCCAGCGGUCCGGCCGGGAACUCAAAGGAGACUGCCAGUGAUAAACUGGAGGAAGGUGGGGAUGACGUCAAGUCAUCAUGGCCCUUACGACCAGGGCUACACACGUGCUACAAUGGCGCAUACAAAGAGAAGCGACCUCGCGAGAGCAAGCGGACCUCAUAAAGUGCGUCGUAGUCCGGAUUGGAGUCUGCAACUCGACUCCAUGAAGUCGGAAUCGCUAGUAAUCGUGGAUCAGAAUGCCACGGUGAAUACGUUCCCGGGCCUUGUACACACCGCCCGUCACACCAUGGGAGUGGGUUGCAAAAGAAGUAGGUAGCUUAACCUUCGGGAGGGCGCUUACCACUUUGUGAUUCAUGACUGGGGUGAAGUCGUAACAAGGUAACCGUAGGGGAACCUGCGGUUG